AUUGAACGCUGGCGGCAUGCCUUACACAUGCAAGUCGAACGGCAGCACGGGAGCAAUCCUGGUGGCGAGUGGCGAACGGGUGAGUAAUAUAUCGGAACGUGCCCAGUCGUGGGGAUAACGUAGCGAAAGCUACGCUAAUACCGCAUACGAUCUAUGGAUGAAAGCGGGGGAUCGCAAGACCUCGCGCGAUUGGAGCGGCCGAUAUCAGAUUAGGUAGUUGGUGAGGUAAAGGCUCACCAAGCCGACGAUCUGUAGCUGGUCUGAGAGGACGACCAGCCACACUGGGACUGAGACACGGCCCAGACUCCUACGGGAGGCAGCAGUGGGGAAUUUUGGACAAUGGGCGCAAGCCUGAUCCAGCAAUGCCGCGUGCAGGAUGAAGGCCUCGGUUGUAACUAGCUUUGU
rnacentral:rRNA from 1 species